AAUUUUAUAGUUAAAUAUUAAUAUUAGAAUGCAAUUCUAAAGAUAUAAUUAUAAAUAAUUAUUAAAAUUU
rnacentral:tRNA from 1 species